GUCAUAUGCUGUCUCAAAGAUAAGCCAUGCAUGUCUCAGUACAAGCCAAAUUAAGGUGAAACCGCGAAAGGCUCAUUAAAUCAGUUAUGGUUCCUUAGAUCGUACCCACAAUUACUUGGAUAACUGUGGUAAUUCUAGAGCUAAUACAUGCAAACAGAGCUCCGACCGGAGACGGAAGGAGUGCUUUUAUUAGAUCAAAACCAAUCGGUGGCGGGUUCGCGCUCGUUAUCGUACAACUUGGUGACUCUGAAUAACUUUACGCUGAUCGCACGGUCAUCGCACCGGCGACGCAUCUUUCAAAUGUCUGCCUUAUCAACUGUCGAUGGUAGGUUCUGCGCCUACCAUGGUUGUAACGGGUAACGGGGAAUCAGGGUUCGAUUCCGGAGAGGGAGCCUGAGAAACGGCUACCACAUCCAAGGAAGGCAGCAGGCGCGCAAAUUACCCACUCCCGGCACGGGGAGGUAGUGACGAAAAAUAACGAUACGGGACUCAUCCGAGGCCCCGUAAUCGGAAUGAGUACACUCUAAACCCUUUAACGAGGAUCAAUUGGAGGGCAAGUCUGGUGCCAGCAGCCGCGGUAAUUCCAGCUCCAAUAGCGUAUAUUAAAGUUGUUGCGGUUAAAAAGCUCGUAGUCGAAUUUGUGUCUCGCGCCGCCGGUUCAUCGUCCGCGGUGUUAACUGGCGAGUCGCGAGACGUCCUGCCGGUGGGCUUAGCUCGCGAGGGCGGCCCAACUCAAUCCUGCCGCGGUGCUCUUCAUUGAGUGUCGAGGUGGGCCGGCACGUUUACUUUGAACAAAUUAGAGUGCUUAAAGCAGGCUAAAACUUCGCCUGAAUACUGUGUGCAUGGAAUAAUGAAAUAGGACCUCGGUUCUAUUUUGUUGGUUUUCGGAACCCCGAGGUAAUGAUUAAUAGGAACGGAUGGGGGCAUUCGUAUUGCGACGUUAGAGGUGAAAUUCUUGGAUCGUCGC
rnacentral:rRNA from 1 species